rnacentral:rRNA from 1 species
ACGAACGCUGGCGGCAUGCCUAACACAUGCAAGUCGAACAAGACCUUCGGGUCUAGUGGCGCACGGAUGCGUAACGCGUGGGAACCUGCCCUUAGGUUCGGAAUAACUCCCCGAAAGGGGUGCUAAUACCGGAUAAUGUCUUCGGACCAAAGAUUUAUCGCCUUUGGAUGGGCCCGCGUUGGAUUAGCUAGUUGGUAGGGUAAAAGCCUACCAAGGCGACGAUCCAUAGCUGGUCUGAGAGGAUGAUCAGCCACACUGGGACUGAGACACGGCCCAGACUCCUACGGGAGGCAGCAGUGGGGAAUAUUGGACAAUGGGCGAAAGCCUGAUCCAGCAAUGCCGCGUGAGUGAUGAAGGCCUUAGGGUUGUAAAGCUCUUUUACCCGGGAUGAUAAUGACAGUACCGGGAGAAUAAGCUCCGGCUAACUCCGUG